rnacentral:rRNA from 1 species
AGUGAACGCUGGCGGUAGGCCUAACACAUGCAAGUCGAACGGCAGCACAGUAAGAGCUUGCUCUUACGGGUGGCGAGUGGCGGACGGGUGAGGAAUACAUCGGAAUCUACUUUUUCGUGGGGGAUAACGUAGGGAAACUUACGCUAAUACCGCAUACGACCUACGGGUGAAAGCAGGGGAUCUUCGGACCUUGCGCGAUUGAAUGAGCCGAUGUCGGAUUAGCUAGUUGGCGGGGUAAAGGCCCACCAAGGCGACGAUCCGUAGCUGGUCUGAGAGGAUGAUCAGCCACACUGGAACUGAGACACGGUCCAGACUCCUACGGGAGGCAGCAGUGGGGAAUAUUGGACAAUGGGCGCAAGCCUGAUCCAGCCAUACCGCGUGGGUGAAGAGGGCCUUCGGGUUGUAAAGCCCUUUUGUUGGGAAAGAAAAGCAGCAGGUUAAUACCCCGCUGUUCUGACGGUACCCAAAUAAUAAGCACCGGCUAACUUCGUG